CAGCCUCCCAGCUGCGCUCCCGUCCCGCGCCGCCACCUGCGCGCGGUGGGGCGGCCCCGGGGCCAAUCCCUGCCCUGCCAGUCAGCUGGCCGCCCGCCACCUCGGGGAAGUUGUGUAACCCGGGGCCCCGCGACGCCCUUUCCUGGAGCCCGGAGCUGGAGCGAAGCCCCUGGGGCCUUGACAUCAGAGGUGACGCGAGUCUUCGCAGGCGAUGACUCGGCAGAGGACUGGCCACUCCCUUUCCCGCGUCCGGCUGCUAGGGAUGGGUCCCCUCCCACCAAGUGGCCUGGACCCGCCAACAGCUCUCCCGAUGUUCUGAACUCGGGGUCCUCAGGACCCGUCCGACCCUCACUAUACCUUGGGACUGUCUCCUGUGUGACAGACACCGUUUCAGAUAACCGUCCUAGGACUGGCCUGUGGCGCUCCCUCCUGGUGACUGCAGGGAGUACCCUGAACAAAAGGAAGUCCUUCCUGGGGUCUAACCUCCAUCUCUGGGGAGGGGUGGUGGUGGAGGGUUUCCUUGAGAGUGCAGAACAGCUGAAGGUAGCUUGUUCUCUCCUCCACCUUACAACAUAGACUUGUGUGGAGUCCAGGCAGGUAUUUUAUUUUUGUUGGGCUGGGCCAUCUUGAGGCCCAAAUGGACCGGACCACCUGGAAUACACCCUAGGCAGGAUUUCUAUGUCAAGUGGCCCUGUGGGGAGUAGGCUUGGGGACUGUGCGGGUGGUGUGUGUGUGUGUGUGUGUGUGUGUGUCUUACCUGGGUGUGGGAAGGCCUUGGUGGAGGGGGGAAGGAAAGGAUGUAGGUUAGGGCUUUGUGGAGGGAAAAAAUGAGGAUGGAGAGCUUGGGGCUGGGCAGGUUUCCAUGACCCCCAACCCCCACCCCUGGAGUGGG
rnacentral:lncRNA from 1 species